rnacentral:rRNA from 1 species
AUCAUUAUCGAGUUUUUGAACGGGUUGUCUGCUGACUCGCGAGAGUAUGUGCACGCCUGGCUCAUCCACACUCACUUCUGUGCACUUUUCAUAGGCCGGCUCGAGGGUGGUGCGCGAAAGCGCACGCCCGAAGGCUUCAGGCUUAUGCUUUACAACAAACGAYUCAGUUAUAGAAUGUCUUACUUGCGAUAACACGCAAUUAUAUACAACUUUCAGCAACGGAUCUCUUGGCUCUCGCAUCGAUGAAGAACGCAGCGAAAUGCGAUAAGUAAUGUGAAUUGCAGAAUUCAGUGAAUCAUCGAAUCUUUGAACGCACCUUGCGCUCCUUGGUAUUCCGAGGAGCAUGCCUGUUUGAGUCUCAUGGAAUUCUCAACCUUCAACUUUAUUGAUGAAGGCUUGGACUUGGAGGUUGUGUCGGCUCUUGUUAGUCGACUCCUCUGAAAUGCAUUAGUGCGAACGUUACCAGCCGCUUCAGCGUGAUAAUUAUCUGCGUUGCUGCGGAGGGUAAGUGAGUGUUCACGCUUCUAAUCGUCUUCGGACAACAUUUCUGAACUCUGAGCUCAAUCAGUAGGACUACCCGCUGAACUUAAGCAUAUCAAUAAGCGGAGGAAAAGAAACUAACAAGGAUUCCCCUAGUAACUGCGAGUGAAGCGGGAAAAGCUCAAAUUUAAAAUCUGGCGGUCUUCGGCCGUCCGAGUUGUAAUCUGGAGAAGCGUUUUCCGCGCCGGACCGUGUACAAGUCUCUUGGAACAGAGCGUCACAGAGGGUGAGAAUCCCGUCUUUGACACGGACUACCGGUGCUAUGUGAUGCGCUCUCGAUGAGUCGAGUUGUUUGGGAAUGCAGCUCAAAAUGGGUGGUAAAUUCCAUCUAAAGCUAAAUAUUGGCGAGAGACCGAUAGCGAACAAGUACCGUGAGGGAAAGAUGAAAAGCACUUUGGAAAGAGAGUUAAACAGUACGUGAAAUUGCUGAAAGGGAAACGAUUGAAGUCAGUCGCGUGUGCUAGAACUCAGCCUUGCUUUUGCUUGGUGCAUUUUCUAGUGUACGGGCCAGCAUCAGUUUCGGCUGCCGGAAAAAGGCCUUGGGAAUGUGGCACCUUCGGGUGUGUUAUAGCCCUCGGUUGUAUACGGUGGCUGGGACUGAGGAACUCAGCACGCCUUUAUGGCGGGGCUUCGGCCACCUUCGUGCUUUGGAUGCUGGCGUAAUGGCUUUAAACGACCCGUCUUGAAACACGGACCAAGGAGUCUAACAUGCCUGCGAGUGUUUGGGUGGAAAACCCGAGCGCGUAAUGAAAGUGAAAGUUGGGACUUCUGUCGUGGAAGGCACCGACGCCCGGACCAGACCUUUUGUGACGGAUCCGCGGUAGAGCAUGUAUGUUGGGACCCGAAAGAUGGUGAACUAUGCCUGAAUAGGGUGAAGCCAGAGGAAACUCUGGUGGAGGCUCGUAGCGAUUCUGACGUGCAAAUCGAUCGUCAAAUUUGGGUAUAGGGGCGAAAGACUAAUCGAACCAUCUAGUAGCUGGUUCCUGCCGAAGUUUCCCUCAGGAUAGCAGAAACUCGUAUCAGAUUUAUGUGGUAAAGCGAAUGAUUAAAGGCCUUGGGGUUGAAACAACCUUAACCUAUUCUCAAACUUUAAAUAUGUAAGAACGAAGCGUCACUUGA